GCGCUGCCACGGCUCUGAGCAUUCCUUUUCGCCUGCGUCUCUCGGCAGAUAGAUACCACUGAAGAUGGCAUGGACCUGCUUAUCAGUGUCUGGUGAUGUCAGGCAUGUGGCUCAAGAAUGGCUGCUUAAACCCAAGAUGGCGGAGUCAGCACUUGAAGGUCUCGCAGCAAGUUGAGGACUUGAAGCUUCUGUGACUUGUCGUUUACUUGAAGGGACAGGGCUUGGACGUUUCGGCAACCUAACCGUUCGUGAAGUGGAAUGUGUCAUGUGUAGCCUGCCCUGCAGCCCAACGGACAUCACUGGAGACCUCCCGAAUGCUGCGAUUUUCAAGGGCCUGCGGAGAAGAACCUGGUGAAAGGGCACGGUGCUCGGGGCACUGCUUGGCUAAACCUGGUGAGAACAUCUUUCGGGAGCUGAAUCGGCAGUUGUACAAUGAAGUCUUGCCAUUCAGAUCUGAUUCAAUCCAUUGAAUCUCAGGACCUCUUCAGGGAAUUCUGUCAGUAAUGGGGAUUUAACAAAGAUCCAGUGUCUGCUUAUACAGCUGUGCACCACAAUUCUGAAAGUUACUGAAGUCAGAAGCUUGUCGGCAGCUAUGAAU